CCGCUGCCUCCCUCUCUGCUGCCUCCGCUCUAAGUUGUUGCUAGAGUUCUUCAUAUUUUCUUUAAACCUCGGCAAUUUGCUCAACCGUGUUUGCUUUCAUUUGAGCUGUCUGGUCUCUUAACCUCUAAACUUUAGCUUGAGCUUGACUUCCGGAAGGCACGUAUUGCUGGGAGUCGGAUCCAAAAUAUUGGGUCGGGGAAACACCAGAUCAUUGAAAUCGAGCCCGACCGUACCUUUCAAGACCUAAAACUUCAGUGAUAAUUUUGUUAUCAAUGUUCUCAAGAUUAACAGAACUAUCAGUCGAAGCAAUUGCUUCAUACUCCGCCUUCUUCUCCUUUAGUUUCUC
rnacentral:lncRNA from 1 species